rnacentral:rRNA from 1 species
UACGAAGGGGGCUAGCGUUGCUCGGAAUCACUGGGCGUAAAGCGCACGUAGGCGGACUCUUAAGUCGGUGGUGAAAUCCUGGAGCUCAACUCCAGAACUGCCUUCGAUACUGAGAGUCUCGAGUCCGGGAGAGGUGAGUGGAACUGCGAGUGUAGAGGUGAAAUUCGUAGAUAUUCGCAAGAACACCAGUGGCGAAGGCGGCGCACUGGCCCGGUACUGACGCUGAGGCUCGAAAGCGUGGGGAUCAAACAGG